rnacentral:lncRNA from 1 species
CCACCUUCAUGAUACAUGGGUGACGAUUUGAAAGUACACAUAUUUCCUCAUCUGUUUACAUUUGCCGGGGGCGGGGGGCAUAAAACUGUAGGGCACAGGGAGUUGGGAGGGGGGCAUUUGCCUGAGAGAUGCUGGAUACCAUUUCGCGAUAAAUUAGAUACGGACACUGGAACAAUUAAUACGUGUAAUAACACGUAUGUGAAAGUAUUAUUACAACAUUACAGAGGCGACCAUUACCCCCACUGCAGUCAUACUAAUGCAGUCAUUCGUUUAAUGCUCCAUUCAAUCUGCAGUGUAAACCAACGCAAUUCUUUUUAAUAGAUCCCUUUCAUCAGAGACUGUGUUGGAAAGAGGGCAGUCUUCCACUAACUCCCAAAGUGAAUAGAAGGUAGCCUGGGGAAUCAUCUCUGUAUCUCUUGCCAUUUCUUCCUGAAGAGAAUGCAAUACAUUGUCCAAGGAAGGCAAAGUUAUUUAGCUAUUAUAAUUGUAGGUAGAAUGAUCUUGAACCUAUUUUCAAAAGCAUUCAAAGAACUCUAACUCACCCUUUGCAAAGAAACAGUACUCUCUUUUAAUUUAUGCAUAAAAUCCUUCGAUAGACAGGCCUGGAUAUAUGUUUUACAUCUUUAUUUAGUGAAUUUUGUAUAUACUAUAAUUUAUACCAUCGUUAGUUCAUAUUAUUGACAUAUAAUACCACAAGUUAGUGUCCGUAUUACCUACAUUAAAAGAUAGGAAAGGAUGGAGUUGGUCACAGAGACAGCCAGGGGCCUGUGGAAUUUUUUGGGAUAUAUACAUAUACACACACUCUAAAUUUAGUAUGGCAACUGUGUUGGUUCUGCAUAAAAUGAAUUUAGAUUAUAUAUAUAUACGUGUAUACGUGUGUGUAUAUAUCAUACUUACAAUGUUUUCAUUUGUUCUUUAAAAUACUCAGCAUUCUUCAAGAUUAUUAAGAUUAGUAAAAUAUCUACAGGGACCCAGAAAGUAAUAAAAAGCACCAUGUAUUAAAAUGGAUUCUUUUUAAAUAUAGCAUUUCAGACUCACUGGCAUGAAUUCCAAACCUCUUUCCAGUAUUUUCUAGGAUAAUAAAUUCUUCCAUGUGAAUUUUACAUACAGGAAGACAUAGAUAUACAAAGAAAAUUUGUCAUAGGUGUUUCACUCACUGGGUCGCCAAAUUGGGCUUCAAAGUGGUAUAUCUAGGCAGGGUUGCCAAAGGAGUACAUCCCCAUAAUGAAUCAGUCAGAUUUAGGAAAAACCAAACUGCAUCAGUAGUUUGAUGUGUCACAGAGAUAUUUUUGGCCUUUUCAGGUGGUUGCCCAAUUUGAGGAGACUCACUCCUGGAUACACCAUAUUUUAUGUGGGCAAGUGUGAAAUCACACACAUGCCCUUUGAGCCUCAGGGCUGGAGGAUAUUAAAGUAACCCUGAAAGACAUUGGGCAACAUCACUCCUAAAGUUACUGAAUCUCUUUAACUUUUUGGAACUAUUUUCAAGGUCAUUUUGAUGAGAGAGUUCUGAAUAUAUUAAUUUGUUUACUCUGAGCAGAUGUUAGUGUGGCCUGAUGGUACUGGGGAGCUGCAGAAGAUUGAAUAGCUAGAAUAGGUUGUUAGUGUUAAACAUGAGUACUACCCAUACAAAUAUUACAGGCCAGAUAAAAAUAUUGUAGAGUAAGUGAUUAUGAUGGAUAUUUGAUUUUAUGUUGUGACUUUUUAGUGCUUUGCAUACAGACAUUUACAUGUCCCUAGUUUUAUUUUAACCAAACAUCAUUUACAUUGUGAAAAAGGAGAACUCUCAUUUAAAAAAAGAUGUUCUUUAUUGAUGAUGCACAAUGGAUAAAAGGAAAACAUAAAAGUAAUAUAUAGGAUGUAAUUUUUAGUUCAACAAAUAUUAAUUAUGUCUACAUUGCUGAUUGGUUUUUAAAUUAUAAACAUUACAAUAUUUCAAAUAGUUUUAAUGAUUCUGUCAUUUUUCAGAGAGGAACAAUGAUAUUGAAAUAACUAAGAUAGACUUUAUUUUUUGGUCUAGCAUAUAUUUUGCUCAUUCUGAUGGUUUAAAUAAAAUAAAUACAUCUUUUAAAAGAUUUACUACUAAUUAAACUAGGGUUAGAGAACUGUUUGUUGUAUAAUGAAGUAGCCACUCAAGAAAGUUCCAAACUUGAAAUGUAGCUGUGGUAAUCUGUGAUUAUGUACAGCAUGUAGCCAUUUACGUAUUGUGUUUGUCUGUUUUUAAGCAUUGUAAAAACAUUUGUGAAGCAUUGUAAAAAAUUUGUGAAAAAAAACAUUUUUUUUUCUCUUUGUUCAUUUCAAAUGCUGUUUAGGUCAACAAAUUGCAUGUCUGAUAACCAUCAAAACCUAAGUGCAUUGUCAUUUGCUUAACUUUUGAUAUACCACUGUUGAAACAAUUGAAAAUAUAGUUACACACAAUUUUAUAAAUGGGAACAUAGGCUAUAAAAGUUAAGCAAAUAAAAAUGUGAUAAAACAUGAAUUAAUAUUUUUAGUUUUGUUGUAUGUUUAUUUCUGUAGAUCUUUCUGUAUCUCCAUAGGAGAAACACUUUUGAAACAUUUUAUAUCGUAGAAAAAGUUC